GUCAUGCAGGAAAGCGUGGGGAGCAAAACAGGAUUAGUUACCCUGGUAGUUCACGCCCUAAACGAUGUCAACUAGCUGUUGGGGCCUUCGGGCCUUGGUAGCGCAGCUAACGCGUGAAGUUGACCGCCUGGGGAGUACGGUCGCAAGAUUAAAACUCAAAGGAAUUGACGGGGACCCGCACAAGCGGUGGAUGAUGUGGAUUAAUUCGAUGCAACGCGAAAAACCUUACCUACCCUUGACAUGUCUGGAAUGCCGAAGAGAUUUGGUAGUGCUCGCAAGAGAACCGGAACACAGGUGCUGCAUGGCUGUCGUCAGCUCGUGUCGUGAGAUGUUGGGUUAAGUCCCGCAACGAGCGCAACCCUUGUCAUUAGUUGCUACGAAAGGGCACUCUAAUGAGACUGCCGGUGACAAACCGGAGGAAGGUGGGGAUGACGUCAAGUCCUCAUGGCCCUUAUGGGUAGGGCUUCACACGUCAUACAAUGGUCGGGACAGAGGGUCGCCAACCCGCGAGGGGGAGCCAAUCCCAGAAACCCGAUCGUAGUCCGGAUCGCAGUCUGAAACUCGACUGCGUGAAUUCUGGAAUCGCUAGU
rnacentral:rRNA from 1 species